rnacentral:rRNA from 1 species
AUUGAACGCUGGCGGCAUGCCUAACACAUGCAAGUCGAACGGCAGCACGGCAGUAGCAAUACUGUGGGUGGCGAGUGGCGGACGGGUGAGGAAUACGUCGGAAUCUGCCCAGUCGUGGGGGAUAACCAGCCGAAAGGUUAGCUAAUACCGCAUACGACCGAGAGGUGAAAGCGGGGGACCGCAAGGCCUCGCGCGAUUGGAUGAGCCGACGUCGGAUUAGCUAGUUGGUGGGGUAAAGGCCCACCAAGGCGACGAUCCGUAGCUGGUCUGAGAGGAUGAUCAGCCACACUGGAACUGAGACACGGUCCAGACUCCUACGGGAGGCAGCAGUGGGGAAUAUUGGACAAUGGGCGCAAGCCUGAUCCAGCAAUGCCGCGUGUGUGAAGAAGGCCUCGGUG